rnacentral:rRNA from 1 species
GACGAACGCUGGCGGCGUGCUUAACACAUGCAAGUCGAACGGAAAGGCCCUGCUUUUGUGGGGUGCUCGAGUGGCGAACGGGUGAGUAACACGUGAGUAACCUGCCCUUGACUUUGGGAUAACUUCAGGAAACUGGGGCUAAUACCGGAUAGGAGCUCCUGCUGCAUGGUGGGGGUUGGAAAGUUUCGGCGGUUGGGUAUGGACUCGCGGCUUAUCAGCUUGUUGGUGGGGUAGUUGCUUACCAAGGCUUUGACGGGUAGCCGGCCUGAGAGGGUGACCGGCGACAAUGGGACUGAGAUACGGACCAGACUCCUACGGGAGGCAGCAGUGGGGAAUAUUGCACAAUGGGCGGAAGCCUGAUGCAGCAACGCCGCGUGCGGGAUGACGGCCUUCGGGUUGUAAACAGAUUUCGACUGUGACGAAGAGUGAGUGACGGUAAUGGGUAAAGAAGCACCGGCUAACUACGUG